rnacentral:rRNA from 1 species
UACGUAGGGUGCGAGCGUUAAUCGGAAUUACUGGGCGUAAAGCGUACGCAGGCGGCUGCGCAAGACAGGUGUGAAAUCCCAUGGCUUAACCAUGGAACUGCUUGGCAUACUGGCGAUCUUGAGCCACUUAGGGGCAACCGGAACAAAUGGUGGAGCGGUGAAAUGCGUAGAUAUCAUUUGGAACGCCAAUGGUGAAAACAGGUUGCUGGGAGUGUGCUGACGCUGAGACACGAAAGCCAGGGGAGCGAACGGG